rnacentral:miRNA from 1 species
AGAGAGAUAGUACACAAGUUGGUC